GCCCAGAUGCUUCUCUAAGUAUGUUGCAAUUAUUUACUCUCUAAGUCAUAUAGGCUCACCUAAUACUUAUUACCCAUACUUCUUAAUUAAGUCAGACCCAUCAUUCACAAGCAGGUGCAAAGCCAUCAUUGGAUCCCUUACUUAAUAGUUAUUGGGCCCAACCCCAUCUUUACCCUGGAGCAACUCUUUGCUAAUAGAGUGGUUGCGUAUUCUCGAUGCAACUAAAUCACUAUAAUCAAUCG
rnacentral:lncRNA from 1 species